GGGAAGGUAGCUCAGUGGUAUAGUGCUUGCCUUGAAUGCAUGAAGCCCUGGGUUCGAUUCCUCAGCACCA
rnacentral:tRNA from 1 species